rnacentral:lncRNA from 1 species
GUGAUGCUCAAAUUGAUAAGGUAGGAUUGUCAAGUGUGAACUUAUGCAAGAGUGAAGAAAGAAGGAACGUUUGUUAGAAAUCAGCUACAAAGUUGUGUCAUGAACUAACUUAAUGAUUGUAUAGUUUGGAAACUUUGUGAAUAGCUACUUCAUGAUCAUGAAGCCUUCAAUUCACCAACCUUCUUUUUGUUGGUAUUUUGGUGUGUAAUCCUGUAAUAUAUU